UCCUCUCACAUGCCAACUCACGCCACCACCACUAGGCCAUAAACUCAUUUGUGUCAUAAAUCCAACACAUUAAACUUUAAAGCGCACCUACUUGCUUCCAGAUUUAUUGAAAAGAAAAACCAAAAUAUAUUGCAAGAUCCAAGACUUGAACCUUGGACCCCUUGCUUCCUCUAUGGCGUCACUUCCUUGUCCCCUAAGUGGCGCCACCUUGCCACUACACCACACUCCUUUUUU
rnacentral:lncRNA from 1 species